ACUGCGGUUCCGCCGUGCCAAGGGGAGCUUGGCUGUUCACGGGCCUCACCUGCUAGCGAGAAGAUAGCUUGGCCGGGCGGCUGAUCUCACCUUGUAAUUCUGACACUGUGUCUCCCGGGCUUGUCGGCUUCAUGACUUGUGCCCAAAGUUUGAUUUCUCGCAGACCAGGAGGACCCAUUGGACCCCCGGGCUGGCUGCAGGGCCCACACCUGGGUUAGACCUCGCACAGGGACGCUGCUGCCACUGUAAUAAAGCGUGCCUACACGCUUCUGAAACUGGUGUAGGAACAACCUCAGUUCUGUGAAAGGCGGACGCAGCAGGACAGAAUCUCCGUGGACAUCUGUCUGGAGGAGCAAUUUUACUGCGACAUUUUAAAGAAACAAAUUUAAUUGAUUUCCAAGGGUGUCCAUCGCGCUUCCUUCACUGCCUUGAUCAUGUCGGGGUCACCACCUGCGGGGGUUUGUCCUGCAGACCCUGACUCAACGACGGAUGAAUAAUGUACACUGACACAGAUCUUAUGCUUGUCAGUCCUGCUGAGCAUCCAGGCCACUUACAGACUCCAAGAAGAGUCCUGUCAGCCACGGCUCUGACUUGUUGGCCCUCCCGGCAUUUAUUUAGCACACAUUUAAUGACAGAAGUCUCAGGCUGGAAACACUCUUUUUGUAGAACAUACAAAUGGACAUUUCUAAGCACAUUGAGGCCUAUAAUGAAAAAUCAAAUAUCCCACAAUGAAAACUAGAAGGAAGCUAUCUGUGAUAAUGCUUUGUGGUGUAUGGAUUCAUCUCACUGACUGAAACCUGAGUUUUGAUUCACCAGGUAAGAAACACUUUUUUUUUUAAUAGAAUCUACAAAGGGACAUUUCUGAGCAAAUUGAGGCUAAGAGUAAAAAAUCAAAUAUCACACGAUAAAAACUAGUAACAAGCUAUCUGUGAAAAUGCUUUUCAAUGUUUGAAUUCAUUUCACAGAGUUAAACCUUUGUUUUGAUUGAACAGGUUGGAGACACUCUUUUUAUAGGAUCUACCAAGAGACAUUUCUGACCUCAUUGAGGCCAAUAGUAAAAAAUCAAAUGUCUCAUGAUAAAAAGUAAAAAGAUGCUAUCUGUGAAAAUGCUUUCUGGAGUGGAGAUUUAUCUCAGUGAAUUGAAUCUGUGUUUUGAUUCACCAGGUUGGAAACCUUCUUUUUGUAAAACCUACAGUGGGACAUUUCUGAGCUCAUUGAGGCUUGUAGUGAAAAACUGAGUUUCCUGCAAUAAAAACCGAAAACAGGUUAUCUGUGAAAGUGAUUUGUGAUGUGCAAAUUCAUCUCAUGAAAAUAAACCUCUGCUUUGAUUGAAUAAAUGGGAAGAACUUUUUUGUAGAAAUUUCUGAGCUCCUUUAGGUCUAUAGCAAAAAAAUCUAAUAUCCUGCAAACAAAACUAGAAACA
rnacentral:lncRNA from 1 species